AGGCAGGAGAGAGUUUUAGUAUAGGAACAGAGGCAGAACAGAGACUGUGCUACUGGUACUUUGAUGUCUGGGGCCAGGGAAUCACAGUCACCGUCUCCUCAGGUCCUAGCAAAGAACCUGACAUGUUCAUCCUCUCGGGGUGCAAAGCCCCAGAGAGAAAUGCACGUGUGGACCUGGGCUGUUUGGCAAUUGGAACACAGCCAGGGAAGAUCAGCUUGGAUACACUGGCACCGAGUACAGUCAGAUAUGUCUUCCCCACCGAAAAGAGAGGAAGCAAUUAUACAAUGAGCCUCUGGGUCUCUAUUCUGGCCUCAGAAGUGAACAUCACCCACAAAUGCAUCAUAGAUAUCCCAGAGAAAAAGGUGGAAAAAACUUUCAAGUUGCCUGAGUCAUGGAAUUCUCAGUCCUCCCAGAAAGCCACUCCAGCUCCCCAAGCAAAGGAUCACACCACAGAAGCCAUCAAAGCUACUGACACCAAAAGGGACAUAAAAGGGGCUAUGGCACCCAGCAACCUCACUGUGAGCAUCCUGACCACAUCCAACCAUCCUGAGAUGUCAUCUUGGCUCAUGUGUGAAGUAUCUGGCUUCUUCCCCGAAAAUAUCAACCUCAUGUGGCUGAGUGCCCACAGUAAAAAGAACCUUAUGAACUUUGUCACUGCACACUCCACCCAACAGCCUGAGGGUGGCAAGUACCAGACCUGGAGUGUCCUGAGACUACCAGCCACUCUGAGCCCUUCACUUGACACUUACACAUGUGUGGUGGAACAUGAGGCUUCCAAGACCAAGCUUAAUGCCAGUAAGAGCCUGGAGAUUCGUGGCAUGGUCAACAUCAUCCCACACUCAUGCAUUAGGGAUGAGCAGAGCGACAGCUACAUGGACAUAGAGGAGGAGAAUGGCCUGUGGCCCACACUGUGCACCUUUGUGGCCCUCUUCCUGCUCACGCUGCUCUACAGUGGCUUUGUCACCUUCAUCAAGGUGAAGUAGACCAGGACAGCAGAAUCCUGCAACUACAGAGGAAAGAGCUUUCCCUCAACAUGAAGCCCACAAAGAAGAUACCUUCUAUGCAGAGAGAAGCUCCCGGCCCUCCUCUCAAUCCCCGCCUUCCACCCAGCCUCCCAGACUCAAAAUGCCUGGCAUCCUUGGCUAUAGGCAAAGCAGGUGUCCUGCUGCUCCAGCUAUACUCAUCCCUGUCCCCUGCCUCCCUCCAAGUCCCCAUCAUCCCAUAAGCAUGCUGUGGUUCACCCCACCUGCCUCCUGCUUAUUUGUUUGUUUGUUUCUAUGGUCUAAACAUAAACUCAAAGCACAUGAGAUCUGAGGCAAACUGUGAAGAAGCCGCUAGGGAGGGGUAGCAGGGUCACACUGAAGAAAAUUGUUCAGUGAAUAAAGAUACCCUCCUCUCACCUUAAACUCACAGUGGACUUCUCACAUACACGUAAGCAUAUACACAUAUACGUGUUCACAUCACAGUCAAACACAGUGUAUACACACGAAUGAUAACACAGGCAGAUAUGCAUGGGUGCAUGAGCAUACCUACUCAUAUGCACACAAAUUCACACCAG